AAGUCAAGGAACUCUCACUGCGCCCUUGUUUGGACAAGACGAGGAGACGCACUCAGAGUCAGAGACCCCGGCGCAUAGGCAGGGGCAAGAAGAAGGGGCCACCGAGACCCCAAAAGAGUCACGGAGACAGACGGACAAAACGACCGACACAACCAGGGACAGCAGGGAGGAAAAGUUGCCUAUCUGUUGGGUCAGAUUUCUGAAGACUGAUGAGGCCCAUUUUCUGACAAAUGGCAAGAGUUUACAAAGUACCAGUGACGUGCCUGAUAGAAUCUCCCCACAAGAUGGAAGCCAACUUAUCAGAAGCCUGGAAAGCCCACCCAGCGUGGGACCUCUGUGGGUCCAGGAUCUUGGAAUGGCAUCCCAUGGUUUAAUCUUCCAGAUUCAACCAAAUAAAUUUACCCCACCAUGUCGUGGACCCAAGCUUCCUACCAUGUAUCCUUAGCUUAAAUGCAAGAUAGUGCUAUUUUGUUCAUCUUGAUUGGAGUGAGAAAUGAAUAGGUCCAUGCACAUAUAUUUCUUUUACCACAACAAGAUGAUGAAGAAAUAAAUCCAUAAUAUUGAUACUUUUGUAUAAGUUGUGUUUACAGUUGCAGUAAGAAAUUUUAUAAUCGUUGAUUUGCUUUAUAUAAUUUCUGCUUGCUUUUUAUGAUAUUUAAAACAAAAUCUAAGCAACAAAUUUUAUGUCUGAUUAGAUUUACAGAAGCUGCUUAAGUGCUUAGGGAUAAUUUGUUCAUCAUACUUGUAAGUCUCCCUUGUUAGGUGUUUGAAGUGUUUGAAUUGGCUAAAUUAAAUUUGUAAUUGUAGUUUGAAAUAUCUAAAGGGAUUUUCUUAAUUAAAUGUUUAAAUGAUGUUAAAAGUUCGUGGGAAUUUAAUCUAUCAAAUUUAUGAGUUAAUUGAAUAUGAAUCAAUAAACAAGUAAAUGUGAUCUUGCUUUUAUAUAAAAACUACCAAGUUCAUAAAUAAAAUACAAAGAUCCAUAAGUUGAGAGGAAAAGCAAAAGA